CCGGUGUUCCCCUGCCGCAGUGACGGCUGUUGGGCGUUCCCUUUGAAGCCGACAUGUCUCGAGAGAGCGGGAGCGAAGCGCAGGGCGCCCCCCAGUCCCAGAGCGGUGCCAGCUCCUCCUCCGGGGCGUCCCAGGGCACCAGCCAGUCUUCCUCCAGCUCGGGGACACUCAGUUCUUUGGACACCGUUCCUACCCAGGAGCUUCCGUGCAUCCCCGAGGACCAGGAAUCUGAAGAGCUGAAUCCUCAGCCGUGGGGUCGGCUCUUUGCACUCGGGAAAGGUUUCAGCAACUGGGACUGCGUGAAUGAUGAAUACUGGUUUGGAAGAGACAAAAGCUGUGACUAUAGUUUUUCUAAGCUAGGACUGUCUGAGACUGGCUUCUACCAGAACUAUAGCAAGAAGCACUUCCGAAUUUUCAGGGAAAUGGGUCCAAGAAGUUCACAUGUUGCCUACAUUGAAGACCACAGUGCAAAUGGAACCUUUGUUAACAGAGAGCUCAUUGGAAGAGGGAAGAGGCUUCCACUGACUCACAACGCUGAAAUUGCACUGUCUGUACAGACUAAUAAGGUGUUUGUAUUUUCUGAUCCUAUGGUGGAUGAUCAGUUGGUGUUUCCUCGAGAAUUCAGAGAGAAAUAUAUCAUGUCCAAGACUUUGGGAAGUGGCGCCUGUGGAGAAGUCAAACUGGCGUUUGAGAAGAGCACUUGUAACAAAGUCGCGGUGAAGAUCAUCAAUAAACGGAAGUUUCUUGCGAGUGGGAUUGAGGCAAAUCCAGCUUUUAAUAUCAAUACAGAAAUUGAAAUUUUGAAGAAAAUUGAUCAUCCUUGCUUAAUCAAGAUCAAAAACUUCUUUGAAGCAGAGGAUUACUACAUUGUGUUGGAACUGAUGGAAGGAGGAGAAUUGUAUGACAGACUGUCAAGGCCAGUCAAGAUGAAAGAAGCUACCUGCAAGUUGUAUUUUUAUCAAAUGCUACUGGCUGUAAAGUAUCUUCAUGACAAUGGAAUUAUACACCGAGAUCUAAAGCCAGAGAAUGUGCUGCUUUCAUCCUCUGAAGAGACGUGUCUGAUAAAGAUUACAGAUUUUGGACAAUCCAAGAUUCUUGGAGAAACUUCUCUUAUGAAAACUUUAUGUGGUACUCCCACGUAUCUUGCUCCUGAGGUUCUAAAUUCACUUGGGACUGCUGGAUACAGCCGAGCUGUGGACUGCUGGAGUUUAGGAGUUAUUCUUUUUGUAUGCUUGUGUGGCUACCCACCAUUCAAUGAGCAGAAUACUCAACUGUCUCUGAGAGAUCAAAUCACUCGUGGAGAAUACAUGUUCAUUUCAAAAGAAUGGAAGCAUGUGUCACACCUGGGUAUGACUCCCUUGCUGUGGGCAGCAGAGUAUCUAACUCUUUUCUUGUAGUUCUUGUUUUCCUUUAACUUCCUUUCUCUAUGCUCUAUGGCAUGUUGCAUAUUGAUAUAUUUAGAUUUUAAAGUAGUCUCUUCAAAAUAUUUUGGGGUUUUUUUUUUUUUAGUUCAAAGUUGAAGCAUUGGAAAGAGCAGGCGCAUUUUCAUUGAAGAGAUUUCUUAGUAAUAUUUCCCUUUAUUAACUACAGAAGUAUUGAGUUUGUGGACACUUACGUCUGCUUUUCCUCUUUUUGCUUUUUCUUCUGAAUUUUAUCAGGCUGGUCUGAAAACUUUGCCUUGCUCAAGGAUUCUUCAGGUGUUGAACUAAAAAUGACACGAAUUCAAGGAAUAUGAGUUGGAAUUCCAAGAUAGAAGUAUUAAGACAUAGUGGUGCUAGUCUUUAGCGGUGCUUAAAAUAUCAGCCAUGUUUGUGGAAUCAACUAUUGAGUUGGGCCACUCUAAGCUAAAUAGUCUGCAGAACUAUUUGUGUUUGUAUAGCAAACCAAAAUGGGAGUUACUGUCUGCAUGCUGUUCUUGAGGAGAUUUUAUAUGCACAAAAUAACUGUAUUUGCCUUGGACACUCCUUUGUAUGUGCAGAGGAGUUUCUAAUAAAUCAUGUGAUCAUUCUUUUUCUAAUAAGCUUACCAAAUAUAACUCCUUCCUGAAUGAUUUGAAGCUUAUUCAAUAAUAAGUCAGACAUAUAUGAGAAUGGAAAUUAUGUUAUGGUUAUACAUAGUCCUAAUGGUAUAUACAAAAGAAAAUUCAGAUAACAAGGAAAAGUUAAGUCUUGCCAAAAUUCCUAUAUGGAAGAUUUGGAGUCAUAAAAUACAACAUAAGUGCCAUAUUUUUCACAGUGCCUAUUAAGCAGUUUCCUAAGAAAACGGUGAUUAUGUGACAGUGUUGAGCACAUGUGUAUGUCUUGUCUCUUCCAUCUUCCCAGACAGAUAAUCUUCUUUCCAAGACACCAUAAACCAGAAAACUAAACUAAGCUGUCUUUGCUUGUCCACAGUAAUACUGAAACUUUUAGGAAAGUGCUGAACUUCCUUUGCAUGGUCAGAGCAUAGAUUGUGGACAUGCUCAGUAUAUCUGCUGCUCUGGAUCUUGUGAAGAAGCUGUUAGUAGUGGAUCCAAGCAAGCGUCUUACAACUGAGGAAGCCUUAGAGCAUCCUUGGCUUCAG